rnacentral:rRNA from 1 species
UUUAUGGAGAGUUUGAUCCUGGCUCAGGAUGAACGCUGGCGGCGUGCCUAAUACAUGCAAGUCGAGCGAACAGAUAAGGAGCUUGCUCCUUUGACGUUAGCGGCGGACGGGUGAGUAACACGUGGGUAACCUACCUAUAAGACUGGAAUAACUCCGGGAAACCGGGGCUAAUGCCGGAUAACAUGUUGAACCGCAUGGUUCUACAGUGAAAGACGGUCUUGCUGUCACUUAUAGAUGGACCCGCGCCGUAUUAGCUAGUUGGUGGGGUAACGGCCUACCAAGGCGACGAUACGUAGCCGACCUGAGAGGGUGAUCGGCCACACUGGAACUGAGACACGGUCCAGACUCCUACGGGAGGCAGCAGUAGGGAAUCUUCCGCAAUGGGCGAAAGCCUGACGGAGCAACGCCGCGUGAGUGAUGAAGGUCUUCGGAUCGUAAAGCUCUGUUGUUAGGGAAGAACAAAUGUGUAAGUAACUGUGCACAUCUUGACGGUACCUAACCAGAAAGCCACGGCUAACUACGUGCCAGCAGCCGCGGUAAUACGUAGGUGGCAAGCGUUAUCCGGAAUUAUUGGGCGUAAAGCGCGCGUAGGCGGUUUUUUAAGUCUGAUGUGAAAGCCCACGGCUCAACCGUGGAGGGUCAUUGGAAACUGGAAAACUUGAGUGCAGAAGAGGAAAGUGGAAUUCCAUGUGUAGCGGUGAAAUGCGCAGAGAUAUGGAGGAACACCAGUGGCGAAGGCGGCUUUCUGGUCUGCAACUGACGCUGAUGUGCGAAAGCGUGGGGAUCAAACAGGAUUAGAUACCCUGGUAGUCCACGCCGUAAACGAUGAGUGCUAAGUGUUAGGGGGUUUCCGCCCCUUAGUGCUGCAGCUAACGCAUUAAGCACUCCGCCUGGGGAGUACGGUCGCAAGACUGAAACUCAAAGGAAUUGACGGGGACCCGCACAAGCGGUGGAGCAUGUGGUUUAAUUCGAAGCAACGCGAAGAACCUUACCAAAUCUUGACAUCCUUUGACCGCUCUAGAGAUAGAGUUUUCCUCUUCGGAGGACAAAGUGACAGGUGGUGCAUGGUUGUCGUCAGCUCGUGUCGUGAGAUGUUGGGUUAAGUCCCGCAACGAGCGCAACCCUUGAACUUAGUUGCCAUCAUUCAGUUGGGCACUCUAAGUUGACUGCCGGUGACAAACCGGAGGAAGGUGGGGAUGACGUCAAAUCAUCAUGCCCCUUAUGAUUUGGGCUACACACGUGCUACAAUGGACAAUACAAAGGGCAGCGAAACCGCGAGGUCAAGCAAAUC